GAUGAACGCUAGCUACAGGCUUAACACAUGCAAGUCGAGGGACCGGCGCACGGGUGAGUAACACGUAUCCAACCUGCCCUUUACUCGGGGAUAGCCUUUCGAAAGAAAUAUUAAUACCCGAUAUAAAGGAUGGGGAUGCGUUCCAUUAGGUUGUUGGUGAGGUAACGGCUGACCAAGCCUUCGAUGGGUAGGGGUUCGGAGAGGAAGUUACCCGACAUUGGAGCGAGGACACGGUCCAAACUCCUACGGGAGGCAGGAGUGAGGAAUAAUAGGCAAUGGGGGCUAGCCUGAACCAGCCAAGUAGCGGGAAGGAUGAAGGCUUAUGAGUCGUAAACUUCUUUUAUAUAAGAAUAUGUAUUAUAUGAAUAAGGAUCGGCUAACUCCGUGCCAGCAGCCGCGGUAAUUC
rnacentral:rRNA from 1 species